AACCCUGUCUAUCACAUCAUCAGCAUUCAAGUUCAUUAGGACCUCUUUCUCUGUCGCCAUCAGCAUAAAGGCCUCCAAAUUAUCCUGUGACAAUCGUGUCCUUAGGCGAUUCUUGAUGAAUUUAAGAGUGGAAAAACUCUGUUUGCAUGCCACUUGAAUAGCCUAAUGGCCUA